rnacentral:rRNA from 1 species
ACGGAAGGCAGCAGUGGGGAAUAUUGGGCAAUGGAGGCAACUCUGACCCAGCAACGCCGCGUGAAUGAUGAAGGUCUUCGGAUUGUAAAGUUCUGUGACGGGGGACGAACACAAUGACGGUACCCCGAUAGCAAGCCACGGCUAACUACGUGCCAGCAGCCGCGGUAAUACGUAGGUGGCAAGCGUUAUCCGGAAUGACUGGGCGUAAAGGGUGCGUAGGUGGUUUAGCAAGUUGGCAGCGUAAUUCCGGGGCUCAACUCCGGCGCUACUGCCAAAACUGUUGAACUUGAGUGCAGGAGGGGUAAGUGGAAUUCCUAGUGUAGCGGUGGAAUGCGUAGAUAUUAGGAGGAACAUCGGUGGCGAAGGCGACUUACUGGACUGUAACUGACACUGAGGCACGAAAGCGUGGGGAGCAAACAGGAUUAGAUACCCUGGUA